rnacentral:rRNA from 1 species
GACGAACGCUGGCGGCGUGCCUAACACAUGCAAGUCGAACGGUACUUGAGGGGCUUGCUCCUUAAGUUUAGUGGCGAACGGGUGAGUAACGCGUGAGGAACCUGCCUUUCAGUGGGGGACAACAGUUGGAAACGACUGCUAAUACCGCAUAACACAGUUGAACCGCAUGGUUUAACUGUCAAAGCUUUAUGUGCUGAAAGAUGGCCUCGCGUCUGAUUAGCUAGUUGGAGGGGUAACGGCCCACCAAGGCGACGAUCAGUAGCCGGCCUGAGAGGAUGAACGGCCACAUUGGGACUGAGAUACGGCCCAGACUCCUACGGGAGGCAGCAGUGGGGAAUAUUGGGCAAUGGGGGAAACCCUGACCCAGCAACGCCGCGUGAAGGAAGAAGGCUUUCGGGUUGUAAACCACUGUCGGGGGGGAGCAAAUUUGAGCGAUCCCCGGAGGAAGCACAGGCUAAAUUCGUGCCAGCCGCCGCAGUAAGAC